UACGUAGGGUCCGAGCGUUGUCCGGAAUUACUGGGCGUAAAGAGCUCGUAGGUGGUUUGUCGCGUUGUCCGUGAAAUCUCACAGCUCAACUGUGGGCGUGCGGGCGAUACGGGCAGACUGGAGUACUGCAGGGGAGACUGGAAUUCCUGGUGUAGCGGUGGAAUGCGCAGAUAUCAGGAGGAACACCGGUGGCGAAGGCGGGUCUCUGGGCAGUAACUGACGCUGAGGAGCGAAAGCGUGGGGAGCGAACAGG
rnacentral:rRNA from 1 species